CCUACGGGAGGCAGCAGUGGGGAAUCUUGGGCAAUGGGCGCAAGCCUGACCCAGCGACGCCGCGUGGGGGAUGAAGGCCUUCGGGUUGUAAACCCCUGUCAGGGGGGGCGAAAGCCUUCCGGUGAAUAGCCGGGAGGUCUGACAGUACCCCCAAAGGAAGCCCCGGCUAACUCCGUGCCAGCAGCCGCGGUAAUACGGAGGGGGCUAGCGUUAUUCGGAAUUACUGGGCGUAAAGCGCGCGCAGGUGGCGCAGUAAGUGGCUGGUGAAAGCCCUCGGCUCAACCGAGGAACUGCCUGCCAAACUGUUGCGCUUGAGGCCGGGAGGGGGAAGCGGAAUUCCUGGUGUAGCGGUGAUAUGCGUAGAUACCAGGAGGAACACCGGUGGCGAAGGCGGCUUCCUGGACCGGCUCUGACACUCAUGCGCGAAAGCGUGGGGAGCAAACAGGAUUAGAUACCCUGGUAGUCCUAGCCGUAAACGAUGGGCACUAGGUGUGGGGGGUCACCAACUCCCUCCGUGCCGCAGCUAACGCAUUAAGUGCCCCGCCUGGGGAGUACGGCCGCAAGGCUAAAACUUAAAGGAAUUGACGGG
rnacentral:rRNA from 1 species